ACUAUGCUUGGCCCUAAACCUCAAUAGUUAAACAACAAAACUACUCGCCAGAAUACUACAAGCAACAGCUUAAAACUCAAAGGACUUGACGGUGCUUUAUACCCCCCUAGAGGAGCCUGUUCCAUAAUCGAUAAACCCCGAUCCACCUCACCCUCUCUUGCUUAGCCUAUAUACCGCCAUCUUCAGCAAACCCUGAUAAAGGUUACAAAGUGAGCACAAACGCCCCGCCGCCGCAAAAACGUUAGGUCAAGGUGUAGCCCAUGAGAGGGUAAAAAUGGGCUACAUUUUCUACAUCAGAAAACCCCACGAAAACUCUUAUGAAACCUGAGAGUCCAAGGAGGAUUUAGCAGUAAAUUAAGAAUAGAGUGCUUAAUUGAACCAGGCCAUAAAGCGCGUACACACCGCCCGUCACUCCCCUCAAAUAUAUUUAAGGAACAUCUUAACUAAACACCCCAAUAUUUAUAUAGAGGGGAUAAGUCGUAACAUGGUAAGUGUACUGGAAGGUGCACUUGGAUAAAC
rnacentral:rRNA from 1 species